GGUCCAAUUGCGGAGAGGCCCGCGCCUGCGUCAGCUGGAAAGUAGAUGAAUGGGACUGCACGUGCAGGAGACGCCCGUUCGAGUCGGGCUUGGACCU